rnacentral:rRNA from 1 species
UACGUAGGGGGGCGAGCGUUGUCCGGAAUCAUUGGGCGUAAAGCGCGUGUAGGCGGCCCGGUAAGUCCGCUGUGAAAGUCCAGGGCUCAACCCUGGGAUGCCGGUGGAUACUGUCGGGCUCGAGUCCGGAAGAGGCGAGUGGAAUUCCUGGUGUAGCGGUGAAAUGCGCAGAUAUCAGGAGGAACACCGGUAGCGAAGGCGGGUCUCUGGGCCGAUACUGACGCUGAGGAGCGAAAGCGUGGGGAGCAAACAGG